CCGUACACAAAAAUGCACAUAUUGUGAGCUUGAUGAGUAGGGCGGGACACGUGGUAUCCUGUCUGAAUAUGGGGGGACCAUCCUCCAAGGCUAAAUACUCCUGACUGACCGAUAGUGAACCAGUACCGUGAGGGAAAGGCGAAAAGAACCCCGGCGAGGGGAGUGAAAAAGAACCUGAAACCGUGUACGUACAAGCAGUGGGAGCACGCUUAGGCGUGUGACUGCGUACCUUUUGUAUAAUGGGUCAGCGACUUAUAUUCUGUAGCAAGGUUAACCGAAUAGGGGAGCCGAAGGGAAACCGAGUCUUAACUGGGCGUUAAGUUGCAGGGUAUAGACCCGAAACCCGGUGAUCUAGCCAUGGGCAGGUUGAAGGUUGGGUAACACUAACUGGAGGACCGAACCGACUAAUGUUGAAAAAUUAGCGGAUGACUUGUGGCUGGGGGUGAAAGGCCAAUCAAACCGGGAGAUAGCUGGUUCUCCCCGAAAGCUAUUUAGGUAGCGCCUCGUGAAUUCAUCUCCGGGGGUAGAGCACUGUUUCGGCAAGGGGGUCAUCCCGACUUACCAACCCGAUGCAAACUGCGAAUACCGGAGAAUGUUAUCACGGGAGACACACGGCGGGUGCUAACGUCCGUCGUGAAGAGGGAAACAACCCAGACCGCCAGCUAAGGUCCCAAAGUCAUGGUUAAGUGGGAAACGAUGUGGGAAGGCCCAGACAGCCAGGAUGUUGGCUUAGAAGCAGCCAUCAUUUAAAGAAAGCGUAAUAGCUCACUGGUCGAGUCGGCCUGCGCGGAAGAUGUAACGGGGCUAAACCAUGCACCGAAGCUGCGGCAGCGACGCUUAUGCGUUGUUGG
rnacentral:rRNA from 1 species